rnacentral:rRNA from 1 species
UACGACUACAUAUCAGGCAUAUCAAUAAGCGGAGGAAAAGAAACUAACAAGGAUUCCCUUAGUAACGGCGAGUGAAGCGGGAAGAGCUCAAAUUUGAAAUCUUCAAGGUUCUACCUUGACGAAUUGUAGUUUAAAGAAGUGUUUUCUGUUAGAUGAGUAGCAAAAGUUCCUUGGAAUGGGACAUCAUAGAGGGUGAGAAUCCCGUAUUUGGUUAUUCAUUCUAGCUUUGUGAUACACUUUCAAAGAGUCGGAUUGUUUGGGAAUGCAGUCCAAAAUGGGUGGUAAAUUUCAUCUAAAGCUAAAUAUUGGCGAGAGACCGAUAGCGAACAAGUACCGUGAGGGAAAGAUGAAAAGAACUUUGUAAAGAGAGUUAAACAGUACGUGAAAUUGUCAAAAGGGAAGCGUUUGACACCAGUGUUGUUUUUCCGAAAAUCAAUUACGAAUGGCUUGAUUUUGUGUUGUAUUGACCUUAUCAGCUUUCUGCACUUUUUUCGAGUCUUUCUUAAUGCACUUUUCGGUUAACAAGUCAACAUCAAUUUCUUUUGUUGUAAAAGAGUAUUCGGAAGGUGGCUUUCUUUUCGGAGAAAGUGUUUAUAGCCCUAUACUUCUACAAUCGGAGAGAUUGAGGUCUGCAGCGUAGAUCCUUCGGGGUUAGAUACACUUGUGCUAAGUUGUAGCUUUUCAUAGACAACUUGUUGACUAUGUUUAGUCAUGCGGCUUACUCGCUUAUGCUAUUUUACCUACGCUUAGGAUGUUGAGUAGCGACAUACGCAC